AAGAGUAAGAUUUACAGACGUAAGAGAACAGGAAAAGCCCAGAGGCAAGAGCCAAAAUUGGACCUAUCCACAUCCUGUCGUGAAGAUUUGAGGACUCACGAGGACCCCACUCCUUCCUGAGUAUCUACUGGCCAUGAAUGGCUUCUGGAGAAGGAAGAGACGUUAGCGGAGGUGUAGCUAUGGGUAAGGUGAGCAUGCUCUGAAAACCCCUCACCCAUACUCCUGUAAGCAGCUCCAGUGAAACUCAUUAGGUCGCAUCCCACCCCACCCCACCCCCCAAAAAAGUCAUGAAAAGUAGACGAGGGGCUAGUUGAGAAAAGGGAGGUAAUUAGUGGGGGUGGGAAGGGGACAAGAGAGGAUAAUGGGAAUGAAUACGAUCAAAGAACAUUAUACACAAAAAAUGUUGUAAUGAAUCCCAUUACUACACAAUAGUUAAUAUAUACUAAUAAAAACUUUUUAAAA